UACAGAGGGUGCGAGCGUUGUUCGGAUUCAUUGGGCGUAAAGGGUGCGUAGGCGGGUCUUUAAGUCAGGGGUGAAAUCCUGGAGCUCAACUCCAGAACUGCCUUUGAUACUGAGGAUCUUGAGUUCGGGAGAGGUGAGUGGAACUGCGAGUGUAGAAGUGAAAUUCGUAGAUAUUCGCAAGAACACCAGUGGCGAAGGCGGCUCACUGGCCCGAUACUGACGCUGAGGCACGAAAGCGUGGGGAGCAAACAGG
rnacentral:rRNA from 1 species